rnacentral:tRNA from 2 species
GGACGGUUAGCUCAGCGGUAGAGCAUCGCCUUCACACGGCGGGGGCCACAGGUUCGAUCCCUGUACCGUCCACCA